AUUCCACUCAUUACAAAGAAAACUAGUUGGUAUCACUGAUGGUGAAUUUGAACUAUGUGCUCUGAGGUACUUCUUGAAAAAAAGAUCCUCACAUUCUUGGGUGCAUUGAAAAUGGAUUUAAAACUAUUUCUUCAAUAAAACUAGUUGGUGGAAGUGGUUGUGAGCAGAUUUUGAGAGUGACAGAAAGGCAGCUUAUUGUAAAUCUUAUAAAAUGCUCAAAUCCAAAUGCAGCUUUUGGUCCAAAGGUUAAACAAUCCUGAUGUAAAGGAAAAGACAAGGGGAAAGAGGAUAAAGAUAAAACAAAGCAAUGGCUUACAAAUGGAACAUUAAA